AGCAUCAGGGUCUUUUCCUAUGAGUCAGUUCUUCGCAUCAGGUGGCCAAAGUGUUGGAGUUUCAGCUUCAACAAAGAUGAUGUGCUAAAAACUGUAAUUUCAAGAGUCCUGUGCACAGAGCGGCAGUCAGACAGAACUCUCUGUGAUGCUGGAAAUGGUCUAUAUCUGUGCUGUCCAGUAGGGCGGCCAUGAUCCUGGAGUGACAUUUUGUUUUAUUUUUAUUUUUUGGCUGCAUGGGGUCUUUGUUGUGGCGCCUGGGCUUAGCUGGUCCAUGGCAUUUGGGACUCUUCUUGGACCAAGGAUGGAACCUGUGUCCCCUGCAUUGGCAGGUGGAUUCUUAACCACUGGACCACCAGGGAAGUCCCUGAAAUUUUAAUUUAAACAUAAAUGGCCAUGUGUACCUAGUGGCUGCUGCGUGGGAUAGUGCAGGUCUAAGACAUUACUGGAAGGGCAGUGCCACCCUUACUGGAAUCGUGACAUCCGAACCCUUUCACUUCCUGGACAGAGGCCAAGAUGAGUUCCACUUGGAGAGAAUCUUCCUGUUGGUCUUUCCUGGGGAUCUCACACAGUAAACUACCAGUGGAACUGCUUUUCAUUUUUAUUUUCUUGGUGUGCUUCAGCCUACUCCGUGAAGCAUCAUUCCUCCUGUCUUUGCCUGUUUUGCUGUCAGCACACUGAUGGAGAAGCGAUCCUUCAUCACGUUGAAGUACCUACAGCAGUCAAAGCGUUAUGCCUCUGCUUUGGAGGGAACGUCAAGAAAAGCGUGGUCCCUGGUGUUCCGGGGUUUGGGGUGCAGAGAGGUAGACAGCAGAAAGUGCUGGACCCCAAGAAUGUGAGUUUACUGGAAGAGGCGUGUGCUUGCCAAGUGAAAACCUGCUGAGUUUGUUUCUGCCUGGUUCUCUGUGCCUGAAAUAUAGCAGUUGUGUUUUAGCA